CCUUCAUCUCAUGAGCUUAAGAUCUGCUUAGGCAAUGAGGAGAGCAACUUGCGACACAGCUGCAAUUAAAAUCAAGAAUGAAAGAAUAAUGCCCUUGCCAGGUCUGUCCGGGAAGAAGAGGAAUAAGUUAAAAUUAAACCUUAGUUGAUCCGGAUCUGAAAUAGAUUUAAACCAGCUCCGCAAAGCCAGGGCAGGUUUUUAAAUCAAAACCUGGGCUUCGGGUUCCUUUUGUUAGCAAAAUGCCCUUACUUGAUGGAACACCAAAACCUCAUUAAAUUGCAAACACUGGACUAUACAAGAUGGAGAAUGAGCAAUUCCACUUAAAGGCUGCAGCUCUCCACACGUUGCCCCAGAAGGACAAUGAGUUCUAAAGGUCAGGGUUACACAUGGCGUGUUACGAAGACUAUCCCCAUCUUAUGGAGGAGGAUGCUGGAGUUCAAAAAGGGCAGAAGAAACAUAUAUGAAGCCACAAUGUACCAGUUCAUCUCAAUUAUGGUUUGAAGGCCUUUUUGAGAGGAGAGACAAAUCUUUUGUUUCUAUCAUCCUCCAGCAUUAUCUUGGCACUAGUCGUUGAUCCAAAUAAGAAACUUCUUUCCUUAAGUUUCCUCACAAACAACAUCAUCCUUUUUUUUUUUUUUUGAGGAAGAUUAGCCCUGAGCUAACAUCUGCUGCCAAUCCUCCUCUUUUUGCUGAGGAAGACUGGCCCUGAGCUAACAUCCGUGCCCAUCUUCCUCCACUUUAUAUGUGGUACACCUACCACAGCAUGGCUUGCCAAGCGGUGCCAUGUCUGCAACCAGGAUCUGAACCGGUGAAACCCGGGCUGCUGAAGCAGAACGUGUGAACUUAACCACUGUGUCACUGGGCUGCUCCAACAUCAUUCUAUUUUUUAACAGGAUGUCUAAAGGCUCUGAAAAUCAGAUCCAGAGAGAUCAUUUAAUCUCUAUUUAAUCAAAAUAAUCUCAAUAGUCAAUCUAGUCUGACCUGAAACUUUGUAAUUUUAGUCCAUUCUUGUUUAAAUGAUCAACUUACAAAAACAAAUUAACCAGGAGAUCCUCUUCAAUUUGCAAAAAAUCUUUAAGGAGCAAUCAAAUGCAGCCCACAGAGGCUUUCCAGCCACCAUGUCUCUCUAACUAGAGUAACUAGUUAAGUUUCCAGUUUCCUAGAAACAGCUCAUAGUCUUUCUACAAUCUUAGCUUCUCAUCUGGAAGUGACUUGGUUUGGAUAAUAAAUUAUAUGGUCAUCAUAUUUAUAAGGUUUAGGUCCUUGGCAGUUUGCAUAUUAGUAGUUUACCCCUCUAGUGACCCUCAGGUGGUCCAUAAGCCAAGUCUACCUCUCAUGUCAGGCUCUAAUGGUGCACUGAGGAAAACAGGCACAUGGUGGGACAAUGGGCAGACCAGACAUAUUGGAACAUGCAAGCGUCUAGAUGCAGGAUUCUACAAAAAGGGGUGUCAGAGUGACAAAGAGUCUGCCAUGGAGCAUGUGAGGUCAGAGGAAGGAAGUGCAUGUGAUUCAAACAUAAAUAUAUUGAAUCAUGAUAGACAGAAGUUCUCUGGACAGAGAACAGUUAUGUGCAGACAGAAAACAGGUGGACAUGUACAGCUCACCAUGAGACAAACUGCAGUGGCAACUCAAGAGGGGAGCAUGUGAAUUUCCUGACUGUUCUUUGAGAAGAAUUGCACUGUUUGAAAAUCUUUUCUGCCUUUAGUCUAUGGAUCCUGAAAGCAGUAGAGGCAGUGGUGAUUGGGGUGAUUUGGAACUUUGUAUAUUAUGUCUUUGUUAUUGAUUUCAAAUUUUUUUUUCUGGGUUUUUUUUUUACUCCCCAGAUCCCCCUAGUAGAUAGUCGUAUAUUUUAGUUGUGGGUCCUUCUAGUUGUGGCAUGUGGGACGCUGCCUCACUGUGGCCUGAUGAGCAGUGCCAUGUCUGUGCCCAGGAUGCAAACCGGUGAAACCCUGGGCCACCAUAGCGGAGUGCGUGAACUUAAUCACUCGGCCACGGGGCUGGCCCCCCAAUUUUUUGCUAUUGGUCUAUAUGAUAUUAAUUAUUUGGGUUUUUAGAACUUUUUUCUUGUAGAUCAGUACGUGAUUAAUCUAUGUAAAUGUUGAAUAUGUGCUUGAAAAGAAGGUAUAUUCUUUAUAAUGUGAAAAUAACUCUAUAUAUCUAAUAAUAUAAUCAUUUAAAUUAUAUUAUUUGUAUCUUCUGUACAUUGGCCUACUUUUUGGCUUUUUGAUCUAUCAGCUUUUGAGGGAAGUCUAUUAAAAUCUCCCAAAUCUUCCAUCACAAUUGCCAAUUUAUCUACUUGCCUCUGUAGGUCUAUUAGUUGUUGCAUUAUAUAGUUUGAGACUAUGCUAUUAGGUCCAUAUAGGUUCAUGAUUGUUAGCUCUUAUUACUCUACUCUUUGUUUUAUGAGAAUAUAAUAUUUCUUCUUGUUACCUAUUAAAUUUUUGUCUUUAAUUAUAUUUUGAGAGAUUUUAUGAAUUCUAGAUUUCUUUGAUUUCUUUUGGUUUUGUCUGUUU
rnacentral:lncRNA from 1 species